rnacentral:sRNA from 1 species
CAGAGCAUGAAGACGCUCCUGGAGACGC